rnacentral:snRNA from 1 species
GGAUAUAAGGGUGAUCUGGUUGUGACAUCUGUCACCCCACCUUAUUGAUCUUGAGGUUUGAUUAGGUUGAUCUGGCCGGUUAGGCAGGUUUUUCUUUCCUGCGUCCAUAUGCAUCCUUCCUGAAACUGUACACUUGGUUAAAGAGGAUGACCUUCACUGAUCGGAAGAGGACCAGUCUUCAGUCAAGAGUCUAUGUGUAGCUGUGCCCCUGCUAUGAUCUCCAAACAAGCUCUCAAGAAUGUGGCUGUUAAUAUUGAUUGGAUAAAGGGACACCUCGGAGGUUAAUAAAUUACACCUCCAGGUGUGUCUAGGAGAU